CAACCCUCAAGCUCUGCUUGGAAUUGGGCCCUGCCUGCUGUGGCCGGCCCUAAAGAUAGUGGCGGCGCCGCCUGGCCCUCAGCGUAGUACAGCUCUCGCUCCAGGGUCCGGUAGUAGCCUGCCAGAACCCCCAACUCUGU
rnacentral:misc_RNA from 1 species